UACGUAGGGUGCGAGCGUUGUCCGGAAUUAUUGGGCGUAAAGAGCUCGUAGGCGGUCUGUCGCGUCGAUCGUGAAAACUUGGGGCUUAACCCUGAGCUUGCGGUCGAUACGGGCAUGACUGGAGUUCGGCAGGGGAGACUGGAAUUCCUGGUGUAGCGGUGAAAUGCGCAGAUAUCAGGAGGAACACCAGUGGCGAAGGCGACACGCUGGGCCAUACCUGACGCUAAAGCGCGACAGCAUGGGGAGCAAACGGG
rnacentral:rRNA from 1 species